AGUGAACGCUGGCGAUAGGCCUAACACAUGCAAGUCGAACGGCAGCACAGUAAGAGCUUGCUCUUACGGGUGGCGAGUGGCGGGCGGGUGAGGAAUACAUCGGAAUCUACUUUUUCGUGGGGGAUAACGUAGGGAAACUUACGCUAAUACCGCAUACGACCUACGGGUGAAAGCAGGGGAUCUUCGGACCUUGCGCGAUUGAAUGAGCCGAUGUCGGAUUAGCUAGUUGGCGGGGUAAAGGCCCACCAAGGCGACGAUCCGUAGCUGGUCCGAGCGGAUGAUCAGCCACACUGGAACUGAGACACGGUCCAGACUCCUACGGGAGGCAGCAGUGGGGAAUAUUGGACAAUGGGCGCAAGCCUGAUCCAGCCAUACCGCGUGGGUGAAGAAGGCCUUCGGGUUGUAGAGCCCUUUUGUUGGGAAAGAAAAGCAGCAGGUUAAUACCCCGCUGUUCUGACGGUACCCAAAGAAUAAGCACCGGCUAACUUCGUG
rnacentral:rRNA from 1 species